rnacentral:rRNA from 1 species
GACGAACGCUGGCGGCGUGCUUAACACAUGCAAGUCGAACGGAAAGGCCCUGCUUGCAGGGUGCUCGAGUGGCGAACGGGUGAGUAACACGUGGGUGAUCUGCCCCUUACUUUGGGAUAAGCCCGGGAAACUGGGUCUAAUACUGGAUAGGACCAUGCUGUAGGUGGUGUGGUGGAAAGAUUAGUUUCGGUAAGGGAUGAGCUCGCGGCCUAUCAGCUUGUUGGUGGGGUAAUGGCCUACCAAGGCGUCGACGGGUAGCCGGCCUGAGAGGGUGGACGGCCAGAUUGGGACUGAGAUACGGCGCAGACUCCUACGGGAGGCAGCAGUGGGGAAUAUUGCACAAUGGGCGCACGGCUGAUGCAGCGACGCCGCGUGGGGGAUGACGGCCUUCGGGUUGUAAACUCCUUUCAGCCAUGACGAAGCCCUUGUGGUGACGGUAGUGGUAGAAGAAGCACCGGCUAACUACGUG